CGGCCGUACCAUGCUGAAUAUACCGGUUCUCGUUAGAUCACCGAAGUCAAGCAUCAUUGGGCGCGGUCAGUACUUGGGUGGGUGACCACCUGGGCCACCGCGUGCCGU